UACGGAGGGAGCUAGCGUUGUUCGGAAUUACUGGGCGUAAAGGGCGCGUAGGCGGCCGAUCAAGUCAGAUGUGAAAGUCCUGGGCUUAACCUGGGGACUGCAUUUGAUACUGAUUGGCUUGAAUGCAGGAGAGGAUAGCGGAAUUCCCAGUGUAGAGGUGAAAUUCGUAGAUAUUGGGAAGAACACCGGUGGCGAAGGCGGCUAUCUGGACUGUGAUUGACGCUGAGGCGCGAAAGCGUGGGGAGCAAACAGG
rnacentral:rRNA from 1 species